AUUUAAAAUGAUGACAUCUUGGGAACGUAACAGAAUGCUUGUAGUCAGAUGAUCCUCCUCGUGAUCAAAUUGGCUGAAAUCGUGGAAUCCAAGAUGGCAGCUCAUUUGACAUAUGAAGAACCUCUGACGUCAUUAUAAUCUAAUUUCUAUGCUAAACAACACUUCCACUAUUGCCGUAACAGUUGAAAAUCACAGUGACAAAGACUGGAAGAAACUACAAAAGGACAAAAAGAAAGGCAGCACUCCAGUUCCAAGAAGUCCUCUGCCUGUUCCCAGAAAAGUCAUAAAUGAAUAUUCCUCCCUUUGCUGUUAAUGCCUAGACCCUUCAUUGAAGAUGCCAUUUAUUUGUGGGCUCCUGGCUCUCAUGACCUGAGAAGUUGAUUUAUGAGCCUGAUGCUUCUUCUGAAUUCCAU
rnacentral:lncRNA from 1 species